rnacentral:rRNA from 1 species
AUGAACGCUGGCGGCGUGCCUAAUACAUGCAAGUCGAGCGAACAGACGAGGAGCUUGCUCCUCUGACGUUAGCGGCGGACGGGUGAGUAACACGUGGAUAACCUACCUAUAAGACUGGGAUAACUUCGGGAAACCGGAGCUAAUACCGGAUAAUAUAUUGAACCGCAUGGUUCAAUAGUGAAAGACGGUUUUGCUGUCACUUAUAGAUGGAUCCGCGCCGCAUUAGCUAGUUGGUAAGGUAACGGCUUACCAAGGCGACGAUGCGUAGCCGACCUGAGAGGGUGAUCGGCCACACUGGAACGGAGACACGGUCCAGACUCCUACGGGAGGCAGCAGUAGGGAAUCUUCCGCAAUGGGCGAAAGCCUGACGGAGCAACGCCGCGUGAGUGAUGAAGGUCUUCGGAUCGUAAAACUCUGUUAUUAGGGAAGAACAAAUGUGUAAGUAACUAUGCACGUCUUGACGGUACCUAAUCAGAAAGCCACGGCUAACUACGUG